UAACAAUUGGAAACGAAUGCUAAUACCCCAUAUGCUUUCGAGUGAAAUGGAUUUAUAUUUAUCCGCCUAGAGAGAAGCUCGCGGCUGAUUAGCUUGUUGGUAAGGUAAGAGCUUACCAAGGCGACGAUCAGUAUCUGGUUUGAGAGGACGAUCAGACACACUGGAACUGAGACACGGUCCAGACUCCUACGGGAGGCAGCAGUGGGGNAUUUUCCGCAAUGGGCGNAAGCCUGACGGAGCAAUACCGCGUGAGGGAAGACUGCCUAUGGGNUGUAAACCUCUUUUUUCAGGGAGGAAUCAAUGACGUGUACCUGAAGAAUAA
rnacentral:rRNA from 1 species